rnacentral:lncRNA from 1 species
CCAAAUACUGAGCACUUCCUUAGAGGUGAUCUGAAGGCCAGCUGACAUCAACACCUCCUUGACUUUAAUUCCCAUUGAUCUCAUGUCAUCCAGUCCCAUACAGGCAAGGGUUAGAUCAGCUGACUACUGGAUUUCCCGUGCUGUACCAACGCAGUGUGACCUCAAUCACAGUUCCAUUCACCAUUGUUAGAUGGGCCAUGCACAACAAAUCCUGGGACUUCUUGUACACCUUGGAGAUAAGCUUGCAGAAUUGUUAUUCAGUCUGGGAAAAUCAGACCCACUAUUCAACAAACAAACAAGACAGCACACUUAACUGCAUUCAUAUGGACUCUGCGACGGAUUCGUUGUCAUGUUUAAGCUGAGCUAUUUCAUUUCCUGAGGCCUUCUCCCCAGGGAUCCUACUCCCCAAGCCAUUUUCUCAGAGCUCUGCCUGUAUUUUGAAAAUAAAUCUGCUGGGAUAAGAACUAAGAAAAUGAAA